UACGGAGGGUGCGAGCGUUGUCCGGAAUCACUGGGUUUAAAGGGUGCGUAGGUGGGAAUGUAAGUCAGUGGUGAAAUCUCUGAGCUUAACUCAGAAACUGCCAUUGAUACUAUGUUUCUUGAAUUUUCUGGAGGUCAGCGGAAUAUGUCAUGUAGCGGUGAAAUGCUUAGAUAUGACAUAGAACACCAAUUGCGAAGGCAGCUGGCUACAGGGAUAUUGACACUGAGGCACGAAAGCGUGGGGAUCAAACAGG
rnacentral:rRNA from 1 species